rnacentral:rRNA from 1 species
UACGGAGGGUGCAAGCGUUGUCCGGAAUCACUGGGCGUAAAGGGCGCGUAGGUGGCGUCGUAAGUCUGUGGUGAAAUCCUGGAGCUCAACUCCAGAACUGCCUUUGAUACUGAAGAUCUUGAGUCCGGGAGAGGUGAGUGGAACUGCGAGUGUAGAGGUGAAAUUCGUGGAUAUUCGCAAGAACACCAGUGGCGAAGGCGGCUCACUGGCCCGGUACUGACGCUGAGGCACGAAAGCGUGGGGAGCAAACAGG